rnacentral:rRNA from 1 species
UUAAGUUAUUAAGGGCGCACGGUGGAUGCCUUGGCACUAGAAGCCGAUGAAGGACGUUACUAACGACGAUAUGCUUUGGGGAGCUGUAAGUAAGCUUUGAUCCAGAGAUUUCCGAAUGGGGAAACCCAGCAUGAGUUAUGUCAUGUUAUCGAUAUGUGAAUACAUAGCAUAUCAGAAGGCACACCCGGAGAACUGAAACAUCUUAGUACCCGGAGGAAGAGAAAGAAAAUUCGAUUCCCUUAGUAGCGGCGAGCGAAACGGGAAGAGCCCAAACCAACAAGCUUGCUUGUUGGGGUUGUAGGACACUCUAUACGGAGUUACAAAGGACGACAUUAGACGAAUCAUCUGGAAAGAUGAAUCAAAGAAGGUAAUAAUCCUGUAGUCGAAAAUGUUGUCUCUCUUGAGUGGAUCCUGAGUACGACGGAGCACGUGAAAUUCCGUCGGAAUCUGGGAGGACCAUCUCCUAAGGCUAAAUACUCUCUAGUGACCGAUAGUGAACCAGUACCGUGAGGGAAAGGUGAAAAGCACCCCGGAAGGGGAGUGAAAUAGAACCUGAAACCGUGUGCUUACAAGUAGUCAGAGCCCGUUAAUGGGUGAUGGCGUGCCUUUUGUAGAAUGAACCGGCGAGUUACGAUUUGAUGCAAGGUUAAGCAGUAAAUGUGGAGCCGUAGCGAAAGCGAGUCUGAAUAGGGCGUUUAGUAUUUGGUCGUAGACCCGAAACCAGGUGAUCUACCCUUGGUCAGGUUGAAGUUCAGGUAACACUGAAUGGAGGACCGAACCGACUUACGUUGAAAAGUGAGCGGAUGAACUGAGGGUAGCGGAGAAAUUCCAAUCGAACCUGGAGAUAGCUGGUUCUCUCCGAAAUAGCUUUAGGGCUAGCCUCAAGUGAUGAUUAUUGGAGGUAGAGCACUGUUUGGACGAGGGGCCCCUCUCGGGUUACCGAAUUCAGACAAACUCCGAAUGCCAAUUAAUUUAACUUGGGAGUCAGAACAUGGGUGAUAAGGUCCGUGUUCGAAAGGGAAACAGCCCAGACCACCAGCUAAGGUCCCAAAAUAUAUGUUAAGUGGAAAAGGAUGUGGCGUUGCCCAGACAACUAGGAUGUUGGCUUAGAAGCAGCCAUCAUUUAAAGAGUGCGUAAUAGCUCACUAGUCGAGUGACACUGCGCCGAAAAUGUACCGGGGCUAAACAUAUUACCGAAGCUGUGGAUUGUCCUUUGGACAAUGGUAGGAGAGCGUUCUAAGGGCGUUGAAGCAUGAUCGUAAGGACAUGUGGAGCGCUUAGAAGUGAGAAUGCCGGUGUGAGUAGCGAAAGACGGGUGAGAAUCCCGUCCACCGAUUGACUAAGGUUUCCAGAGGAAGGCUCGUCCGCUCUGGGUUAGUCGGGUCCUAAGCUGAGGCCGACAGGCGUAGGCGAUGGAUAACAGGUUGAUAUUCCUGUACCACCUAUAAUCGUUUUAAUCGAUGGGGGGACGCAGUAGGAUAGGCGAAGCGUGCGAUUGGAUUGCACGUCUAAGCAGUAAGGCUGAGUAUUAGGCAAAUCCGGUACUCGUUAAGGCUGAGCUGUGAUGGGGAGAAGACAUUGAGUCUUCGAGUCGUUGAUUUCACACUGCCGAGAAAAGCCUCUAGAUAGAAAAUAGGUGCCCGUACCGCAAACCGACACAGGUAGUCAAGAUGAGAAUUCUAAGGUGAGCGAGCGAACUCUCGUUAAGGAACUCGGCAAAAUGACCCCGUAACUUCGGGAGAAGGGGUGCUCUUUAGGGUUAACGCCCAGAAGAGCCGCAGUGAAUAGGCCCAAGCGACUGUUUAUCAAAAACACAGGUCUCUGCUAAACCGUAAGGUGAUGUAUAGGGGCUGACGCCUGCCCGGUGCUGGAAGGUUAAGAGGAGUGGUUAGCUUCUGCGAAGCUACGAAUCGAAGCCCCAGUAAACGGCGGCCGUAACUAUAACGGUCCUAAGGUAGCGAAAUUCCUUGUCGGGUAAGUUCCGACCCGCACGAAAGGCGUAACGAUUUGGGCACUGUCUCAACGAGAGACUCGGUGAAAUCAUAGUACCUGUGAAGAUGCAGGUUACCCGCGACAGGACGGAAAGACCCCGUGGAGCUUUACUGUAGCCUGAUAUUGAAAUUCGGCACAGCUUGUACAGGAUAGGUAGGAGCCUUUGAAACGUGAGCGCUAGCUUACGUGGAGGCGCUGGUGGGAUACUACCCUAGCUGUGUUGGCUUUCUAACCGGCACCACUUAUCGUGGUGGGAGACAGUGUCAAGCGGGCAGUUUGACUGGGGCGGUCGCCUCCUAAAAGGUAACGGAGGCGCUCAAAGGUUCCCUCAGAAUGGUUGGAAAUCAUUCAUAGAG